CAAGUGAAUGGCCUCCCCUUAUGUUCGGUGAUCUCCCCUAUUCAGUCCCAGUGCUUGUGAAGCCUAUUUAAAAGGAAGCUAAGAAAAGUAUAUUAUAUUAUACAGGGGAAAAAAAAAAGGGGGGGGGGGCAAUAUAAAUAAUCAAUAAAAUUUUACAAUCUAUAUUACAACCUUAACAUAGCUUAUGUUAUAUGAAGUCAUAUCUGAAGUAAAGAGUGGAUUACAUUCAAUGUUUUUGAAAGAAAUAUUCCUAAGCCUAGUUAACAAAGAGCUCUUCAACUGUCUGAACCAAAACAUCAUUUUGUUCAACCAAAUCAUUGACAUAAGACUGCAGCAUCCGAUUCCGAACCUGAAAACAGUUAUUAUUAUAAGAAGUGAAAAAAAAAACUAUGUCUAGCAUUAAUGCCACUAAAAAAUUUUUUUAAUUAUUAUUAUGAAUACUUCUGCCUUAAGAGAUAAUGUAUACACCCAGACAAAGGGAUAUUCCAUAGAUCAUGGGCUGCCUAUGCGUUAUGGUUCCACUCUCAACCUUGCUGGUUUGAUUGAAAGGAAUGCUUGCAAUAUCAAAGUUUAUAGAGCUGUCAAAGAGAAUAACCAUAGAUGAUAGUCCUAAGACCUAAUGGGCUCCAUUACCUCAAUGUUAACUCAUGAUGCUUUAGCACUGCAAGGCAGUGGAAGUUUGAAAUCAUAGUAUUAUUCUCUUAGAUGAAAAGCCUUAAGCUGAUCAAAUCAACUGCCUAAAGCUCUUAACUUUAAAGGGAAUAUGUUUCCAUAUCCACCUUCACCACAUGUUGGUAAGGGCAGUUUGGACUUAAUAUCUAAGCAGCACAAGCAAGCAAGUGCUGGUCUUUUAUUCAUAUACUUAUUCAUUUUAAAAUGGAUCAUCAUUGUGUUUAUAACAAUCUCUUGAAGGCCUAGAUUUGUCACAUAAAAGUCUUCGUCUUCAUCAGAACAAUGCACUGACACAAUAAUUUUGGCAUGAAACUAGUAGUGUUGCAUAAGCAAGAUACAUAAAAUAUUGUAAUGUA